AACGAACGCUGGCGGCAGGCUUAACACAUGCAAGUCGAACGAGAUCUUCGGAUCUAGUGGCAGACGGGUGAGGAACACGUGGGAACAUCCUUUUCAGUUCGGAAUAACGUUGGGAAACUAACGCUAAUACCGGAUACGUCCUUCGGGAGAAAGAUUUAUCGCUGAAAGAUUGGCCCGCGUCUGAUUAGCUAGUUGGUGAGGUAAUGGCUCACCAAGGCUACGAUCAGUAGCUGAUCUGAGAGGAUGAUCAGCCACAUUGGGACUGAGACACGGCCCAAACUCCUGCGGGAUGCAGCAGUGGGGAAUAUUGGACAAUGGGCGCAAGCCUGAUCCAGCCAUGCCGCGUGAGUGAUGACGGCCUUCGGGUUGUAAAGCUCUUUUGUCCGGGAAGAUAAUGACUGUACCGGAAGAAUAAGCCCCGGCAAACUUCGUGCCAGCCGCCGCCGUAA
rnacentral:rRNA from 1 species